GAUGAACGCUGGCGGCGUGCCUAAUACAUGCAAGUCGAGCGAACGGACGAGAAGCUUGCUUCUCUGAUGUUAGCGGCGGACGGGUGAGUAACACGUGGAUAACCUACCUAUAAGACUGGGAUAACUUCGGGAAACCGGAGCUAAUACCGGAUAAUAUUUUGAACCGCAUGGUUCAAAAGUGAAAGACGGUCUUGCUGUCACUUAUAGAUGGAUCCGCGCUGCAUUAGCUAGUUGGUAAGGUAACGGCUUACCAAGGCAACGAUGCAUAGCCGACCUGAGAGGGUGAUCGGCCACACUGGAACUGAGACACGGUCCAGACUCCUACGGGAGGCAGCAGUAGGGAAUCUUCCGCAAUGGGCGAAAGCCUGACGGAGCAACGCCGCGUGAGUGAUGAAGGUCUUCGGAUCGUAAAACUCUGUUAUUAGGGAAGAAAAUGUGUGUAAGUAACUGUGCACAUCUUGACGGUAACUAAUCAGAAAGCCACGGCUAACUACGUG
rnacentral:rRNA from 1 species